CUGGCUCAGGAGGUACGACGCGAAGGGAGCGAGUGCCGCCUUGGGGGGGGAUUGAAUGUAGAAGAAGAUGCACACCUAGUCCUGUCUGAGAACAGACUUGUGUGGCAUUUAAUGCUAUAAAGAGGAGCCACAUGAACACACAGUAGGAGAUUUGAAGAAUGUGCCCCCUCCAGUACAGAGAUCUGAGGGCCAGACACCCUGGGAAAAACACUGUAUGGGAAUUUGGUGUGUGGCUCAGUCACUCCAGAGAUGAGAGCAAAGCCUGAGAAAACCACCGACGGACGCCGUCAGUGCCCUUCAGUGCCAAGGUGGCUGGGGGGCACAUCAGCAGGGACCACUGGCCCUCGACCCGCCCGCCUGACAGCCAAUUCUCCACGCUUUUAUGCCACGUCAACUCUGGUUUGGACACGCACUGCAGCCUGCCGAACGCUCGGGGAAUCCUGCAGCGCAGGAGCAUCCGGGAAACAAAGACACGGAAAACUGACCUGCUUCGGAAAUGCAUCGAGCAUUUUACCCGUUGUUGCCGUACGGGCAGAAACCGUGAAAUAGGAAUGACCCGUGUGGACAGUAAGCAAGCAUGUCGUCUCCUGCGUAGUUUGUGGUGUGUGACACAUAAUUUAUCAAACAUAAGUAAGCUAGAGGUCACUGCACAGCCCAGCACUUUGUGUGCCAAACAGCAGAGAGAACGGGAGACCUCUGUUUGAGUUGGGUGCCCAUGAAGUUUCCGUGAAGAUGUCAAACACAGUGAAACAUGGGAUGGAACGGCGAGCAGCUCACGAGAGCGUCUCCUCACAUGGGACGGGGGGGAGCUCGCCCACUCUCCAUGAAUGUUGACUUUCACUUGGGCUAUCGCUGGGAAUUUCCUGGCUGCGGGAAUCACAUGAGUGGAGUGCUGAGGCCGCCCGCGAGCACGCUGUUAAUUUCUGGAAACGGGGAGAGGGCGCCUGGCGUUCCGGGUUGUUAGCGGUAGCGUUGAU